rnacentral:rRNA from 1 species
GAUGAACGCUGGCGGCGUGCCUAAUACAUGCAAGUCGAGCGAACAGACGAGGAGCUUGCUCCUCUGACGUUAGCGGCGGACGGGUGAGUAACAAGUGGAUAACCUACUUAUAAGACUGGGAUAACUUCGGGAAACAGGAGAUAAUAAUGGAUAACAUGUUGAACCGCAUGGUUCAACAGUGAUUGACGGCUUUGCUGUCACUUAUAGAUGGAUUCGGGUCAGAUUAGUUAGGUGGUAAGGGAACGGCCUACCAAGGAGACGAUGCGUAGCUGACCUGAGGGGUUGAUGAGCCAAACUGGAACUGAGAGACGGUCAAGACUCGUACGGGAGGCAGCAGGGGGGAAUAUUGGACAAUGGGCGCAAGCCUGAUCCAGACAUACAGAGUGGGUGAAGAAGGCUUUCGGGUUGUAAAGCCCUUUUGUUGGGAAAGAAAAGCAGCAGGUUAAUACCCCGCUGUUCUGACGGUACCCAAAGAAUAAGCACCGGCUAACUUCGUG